GAAUGCUGACAUAAGUAACGAUAAAGCGGGUGAAAAGCCCGCUCGCCGGAAGACCAAGGGUUCCUGUCCAACGUUAAUCGGGGCAGGGUGAGUCGACCCCUAAGGCGAGGCCGAAAGGCGUAGUCGAUGGGAAACGGGUUAAUAUUCCCGUACUUGGUGUUACUGCGAAGGGGGGACGGAGAAGGCUAUGUUGGCCGGGCGACGGUUGUCCCGGUUUAAGCGUGUAGGUGUGUGUUCCAGGUAAAUCCGGUUCACUUUAACACUGAGGCGUGACGACGAGGCACUACGGUGCUGAAGCAACAAAUGCCCUGCUUCCAGGAAAAGCCUCUAAGCAUCAGGUAACAUCAAAUCGUACCCCAAACCGACACAGGUGGUCAGGUAGAGAAUACCAAGGCGCUUGAGAGAACUCGGGUGAAGGAACUAGGCAAAAUGGUGCCGUAACUUCGGGAGAAGGCACGCUGACACGUAGGUGAAGUGAUUUACUCAUGGAGCUGAAGUCAGUCGAAGAUACCAGCUGGCUGCAACUGUUUAUUAAAAACACAGCACUGUGCAAACACGAAAGUGGACGUAUACGGUGUGACGCCUGCCCGGUGCCGGAAGGUUAAUUGAUGGGGUCAGCGCAAGCGAAGCUCCUGAUCGAAGCCCCGGUAAACGGCGGCCGUAACUAUAACGGUCCUAAGGUAGCGAAAUUCCUUGUCGGGUAAGUUCCGACCUGCACGAAUGGCGUAAUGAUGGCCAGGCUGUCUCCACCCGAGACUCAGUGAAAUUGAACUCGCUGUGAAGAUGCAGUGUACCCGCGGCAAGACGGAAAGACCCCGUGAACCUUUACUAUAGCUUGACACUGAACAUUGAGCCUUGAUGUGUAGGAUAGGUGGGAGGCUUUGAAGUGUGGACGCCAGUCUGCAUGGAGCCGACCUUGAAAUACCACCCUUUAAUGUUUGAUGUUCUAACGUGGACCCGUGAUCCGGGUUGCGGACAGUGUCUGGUGGGUAGUUUGACUGGGGCGGUCUCCUCCUAAAGAGUAACGGAGGAGCACGAAGGUUGGCUAAUCCUGGUCGGACAUCAGGAGGUUAGUGCAAUGGCAUAAGCCAGCUUGACUGCGAGCGUGACGGCGCGAGCAGGUGCGAAAGCAGGUCAUAGUGAUCCGGUGGUUCUGAAUGGAAGGGCCAUCGCUCAACGGAUAAAAGGUACUCCGGGGAUAACAGGCUGAUACCGCCCAAGAGUUCAUAUCGACGGCGGUGUUUGGCACCUCGAUGUCGGCUCAUCACAUCCUGGGGCUGAAGUAGGUCCCAAGGGUAUGGCUGUUCGCCAUUUAAAGUGGUACGCGAGCUGGGUUUAGAACGUCGUGAGACAGUUCGGUCCCUAUCUGCCGUGGGCGCUGGAGAACUGAGGGGGGCUGCUCCUAGUACGAGAGGACCGGAGUGGACGCAUCACUGGUGUUCGGGUUGUCAUGCCAAUGGCACUGCCCGGUAGCUAAAUGCGGAAGAGAUAAGUGCUGAAAGCAUCUAAGCACGAAACUUGCCCCGA
rnacentral:rRNA from 4 species